CGGACGGGUGAGUAAUGCCUAGGAAUCUGCCUGGUAGUGGGGGACAACGUUUCGAAAGGAACGCUAAUACCGCAUACGUCCUACGGGAGAAAGCAGGGGACCUUCGGGCCUUGAGCUAUCAGAUGAGCCUAGGUCGGAUUAGCUAGUUGGUGAGGUAAUGGCUCACCAAGGCGACGAUCCGUAACUGGUCUGAGAGGAUGAUCAGUCACACUGGAACUGAGACACGGUCCAGACUCCUACGGGAGGCAGCAGUG
rnacentral:rRNA from 1 species